rnacentral:rRNA from 4 species
UCGCUAGUAAUCGCGGAUCAGCAUGCCGCGGUGAAUACGUUCCCGGGCCUUGUACACACCGCCCGUCACACCACGAGAGUUGGUAACACCCGAAGUCGGUGAGGUAACCUUUUGGAGCCAGCCGCCGAAGGUGGGACCAAUGAUUGGGGUGAAGUCGUAACAAGGUAGCCGUAUCGGAAGGUGCGGCUGG